CCAAACUUAUCUUCAUUUAUCUUCAUUUCUGUCUCAUAUUUUCUCUCUCUGAAAACCCUUCUCUUAGUCUCAUCUUCUUCUCAUCGAAAACUUGUUAUUGCUCCAACGAAGUACAUGAUUCCCGUCGUUGUCACUAUUAAGUCGCCGACUCAAAGCGUCUUCCUCUCUAAUUUGAUCUAAAUUUCUUGCAGGAUGACUCCUACGGAGCUUCCUUCUUGUUUAUUUGCCGAGAGAGAAGAACAUGCCGAUGAUACGGAGCAGUUGGUGAUAGAACUAAACCAGAAUCCGACGAUGAAGAUGUGUUUCCUGUAAUUUCUUUGAGAUUAGAUAAAGUGUGAGAAUUGGAUGUAAGAGAUCUAGUAUGUUAGACCUCUAUGUGUUUAUAUAAAUGUCCAUUCAGUUUUUGUCAA